rfam:Thalassolituus sp. HI0120 HI0120_c10, whole genome shotgun sequence.
CGCUCCCUGGGGUGUUAGCCAGUCAAUAAAGACCUGAGCCGAUGCUUUUUAUUAUGGAAGGUUCAUUCGUUAAUGUGUGCAUGUCCGCUCGACGGAAAGCCUAAUUUGAUGUCUGGCCUGCCACCUUGGACCACAGGGUUCAAGGCCUUUAUUUAUGACAGCGGCACAGUGGGGAGCUC